CAGUAGCCGCGGUAAUACGAGGGGGGCAAGCGUUGUUCGGAUUUAUUGGGCGUAAAGGGUGCGUAGGCGGUUUGGCAAGUCUUGUGUGAAAUCUUCGGGCUCAACCCGAAGCCUGCACGAGAAACUACCGGGCUUGAGUAUUGGAGAGGCGAGUGGAAUUUCCGGUGUAGCGGUGAAAUGCGUAGAUAUCGGAAGGAACACCUGUGGCGAAAGCGGCUCACUGGACAAUAACUGACGCUGAUGCACGAAAGCUAGGGGAGCAAACAGGAUUAGAUACCCCCGUAGUCCCUGUCUCUUAUAA
rnacentral:rRNA from 1 species